AGUGAACGCUGGCGGUAGGCCUAACACAUGCAAGUCGAACGGCAGCACAGUAAGAGCUUGCUCUUACGGGUGGCGAGUGGCGGACGGGUGAGGAAUACAUCGGAAUCUACUUUUUCGUGGGGGAUAACGUAGGGAAACUUACGCUAAUACCGCAUACGACCUACGGGUGAAAGCAGGGGAUCUUCGGACCUUGCGCGAUUGAAUGAGCCGAUGUCGGAUUAGCUAGUUGGCGGGGUAAAGGCCCACCAAGGCGACGAUCCGUAGCUGGUCUGAGAGGAUGAUCAGCCACACUGGAACUGAGACACGGUCCAGACUCCUACGGGAGGCAGCAGUGGGGAAUAUUGGACAAUGGGCGCAAGCCUGAUCCAGCCAUACCGCGUGGAAGAAGAAGGCCUUCGGGUUGUAAAGCCCUUUUGUUGGGAAAGAAAAGCAGCAGGUUAAUACCCCGCUGUUCUGACGGUACCCAAAGAAUAAGCACCGGCUAACUUCGUG
rnacentral:rRNA from 1 species